CCUACGGGAGGCAGCAGUGGGGGAUAUUGCACAAUGGGGGAAACCCUGAUGCAGCGACGCCGCGUGGGUGAAGAAGUAUUUCGGUAUGUAAAGCCCUAUCAGCAGGGAAGAAAGAAGACGGUACCUGAAGAAAAAGCAUCGGCUAACUCCGUGCCAGCAGCCGCGGUAAUACGGAGGAUGCGAGCGUUAUCCGGAUUUAUUGGGUUUAAAGGGUGCGUAGGCGGAAUGCCAAGUCAGCGGCAAAAUCGCGGGGCUCAACCUCGCUCCGCCGUUGAAACUGGCGUUCUUGAGUGGGCGAGAAGUAUGCGGAAUGCGUGGUGUAGCGGUGAAAUGCAUAGAUAUCACGCAGAACUCCGAUUGCGAAGGCAGCAUACCGGCGCCCAACUGACGCUGAAGCACGAAAGCGUGGGUAUCGAACAGGAUUAGAUACCCCUGUAGUC
rnacentral:rRNA from 1 species